CGUUCGAAUUGUAGUCUGGAG
rnacentral:snRNA from 1 species